CCAGUCGGGAAAGUUCGCAGAGUAGUUUUACUACAAAUUACCAGAUAAAUAUUAUUUCGUCUUUAUUAUCGAAAGAAUUUUCACCUUGUUCGUCACACAUUUUCGGAGCUCAUUUAGUCCUUGUUGCGCUCUUGACAAGUGAAAAUGUCUCAGAUACCUGGUGCCCAAGGACCCUGGAAGGGGACGAACUGAAGGAGGCCAAGGAGCUAUUGACCACCACAUUCGCUGGUUUGCCUGCAGACAAUGGUGUUAAAUAUCAAGUUGGUAACGUGGUCUCGGUGACCCGCCAAUUGGUGGCUGGCAAUAUCUUCAAAUAUGUUGUGGACGUUUCCGACGGAACCACCACUGAGGAGUGCACUGUCAGCAUCUGGCAACAGCCUUGGCUGGAGAAGAAUGGCAACAAUGUCAAGAUUGAGUGCAAGGAUGUCGUCAAGCUAGAUCACACAUGGUAGAUAAUGUGAAAACUGACUGAAAUCUGUCUGUAUGUCGAAUAAAAUGUGAUUUAAUUAACAUGCGAA